GAUGAACGCUAGCGGCAGGCCUAACACAUGCAAGUCGAGGGGCGUCGGGGUGUAGCAAUACACUGCCGGCGACCGGCGCACGGGUGCGUAACGCGUAUACAAUUUGCCUUAUACAGGGAGAUAGCCCGGAGAAAUUCGGAUUAAUAUCCCAUAAUAAUUUUGCUCCGCAUGGAGUGAUUUUUAAAGAUUUAUCGGUAUAAGAUGAGUAUGCGUCUGAUUAGCUAGUUGGUGAGGUAAUGGCUCACCAAGGCAACGAUCAGUAGGGGGCCUGAGAGGGUUAUCCCCCACACUGGAACUGGGACACGGUCCAGACUCCUACGGGAGGCAGCAGUGAGGAAUAUUGGUCAAUGGAGGCAACUCUGAACCAGCCAUGCCGCGUGAAGGAUGAAUGCCCUAUGGGUUGUAAACUUCUUUUAUUGGGGAAGAAACCUUGCUACGUGUAGCGAGCUGACGGUACCCAAGGAAUAAGGACCGGCUAACUCCGUGCCAGCAGCCGCGGU
rnacentral:rRNA from 1 species